rnacentral:rRNA from 1 species
AACGCAGGCGGCGCGCUUAAUACAUGCAAGUCGAGCGAGAACCAGGGCUUCGGCUCUGGGGACAGCGGCGAACGGGUGAGUAACACGUGGGUAAUCAACCCCCGACACCGGGAUAGCCCAGGGAAACUUGGAUUAAUACCGGAUGCCCCGUCUAGCCUUCGGGCCGGCCGGAAAAGGGUAGCUUCGGCCUCUGGUCGGGGACGAGCCCGCGGCGGAUUAGCUUGUUGGUGAGGUAAAGGCUCACCAAGGCGACGAUCCGUAGCUGGUCUGAGAGGACGAUCAGCCACACUGGGACUGAGACACGGCCCAAACUCCUACGGGAGGCAGCAGUAGGGAAUCUUGCGCAAUGGGCGAAAGCCUGACGCAGCGACGCCGCGUGAGGGAAGAAGGCCUUCGGGUUGUAAACCUCUUUCAGGAGGGACGAAGCCACUCGGGUUAAUAGCCUAGAGGGUGACGGUACCUCCAGAAGAAGCCCCGGCUAACUACGUGCCAGCCGCCGCCGUAA